GUGACCUCGAAUCAGGUAGGACUACCCGCUGAACUUAAGCAUAUCAAUAAGCGGAGGAAAAGAAACCAACAGGGAUUGCCCUAGUAACGGCGAGUGAAGCGGCAACAGCUCC
rnacentral:rRNA from 1 species